rnacentral:rRNA from 1 species
GUAGGGAGCAAGCGUUGUUCGGAAUCAUUGGGCGUAAAGAGCGCGUAGGUGGCUUGGUAAGUCUGUUGUGAAAGCCCACAGCUCAACUGUGGAACUGCGACAGAAACUGCCUGGCUAGAGUGCGGGAGAGGAAAGUGGAAUUCCCAGUGUAGAGGUGAAAUUCGUAGAUACUGGGAGGAACACCGGUGGCGAAGGCGGCUUUCUGGACCGCAACUGACGCUGAGGCGCGAAAGCUAGGGGAGCGAACGGGGGAUUAGAUACCCCGGUAGUCCUAGCCGUAAACGAUGGGCACUAGGUGUAGGGGGUAUCGACCCCCUUCUGUGCCCGUAGCUAACGCAUUAAGUGCCCCGCCUGGGGGAGUACGGUCGCAAGACUA